rnacentral:rRNA from 1 species
UACGUAGGGCGCAAGCGUUGUCCGGAAUUAUUGGGCGUAAAGAGCUCGUAGGCAGUCUGUCGCGUCGGCUGUGAAAACCCGGGGCUCAACCCCGGGCCUGCAGUCGAUACGGGCAGACUAGAGUGUGGUAGGGGAGACUGGAAUUCCUGGUGUAGCGGUGGAAUGCGCAGAUAUCAGGAGGAACACCGGUGGCGAAGGCGGGUCUCUGGGCCAUAACUGACGCUGAGGAGCGAAAGCGUGGGGAGCGAACAGG